UCGUCGUCCUUGAUGCCUCGUUCCCGCACUCCUGUUUGCCUGACUUCUGCUCUCCGUGUAUCGACCCACGCCUGUCCACUGACCACCCUCGUAAGCCUGCCGUACUAUUACUUCUGAUUAUGUGGACUGUCUGCCUGAUCCCAGACCUUGGACCGAAUAAUGGUUUCCUCUGCACCGUCUGCUUGUCUCUUGAGUCGUGCAUUUGGGUCCACCCUCGAGCCCCAUUCAUGACAGUUCAGACUGUCACUCUCUCCAGCAAUAAUCACCUCCUCACCUCUGCACCCGGUUCCAAUCAGCACUCUUCCCUGCCUGGAUUUAAGUCUACCAGUUCAAGUGUUCCAGUUCCGUCCGCAUAUUGUCACUCCCAGGCAACUGGGUAUGAUUCAUCUUGAUCCUCUGGACCGACCGCGCCAUUUUAUAGACUCCUUAGAGGAAGUGCUGGAGACUAUUCCCUCUGGGGACUCAAUCAUUCUGCUGGGGGACUUCAAUGCCCAUGUUGGCAAUGACAGUGAUACCUGGAAGAAUGUGAUUGACAACAAACCAAUUAGUGGACACCAAUGAUGAGGAAUGCUGUCAAGUUGAAGGAGUCCUAUUGGGGAUUUUUGGCCAGUGGGAAUCCUGAGGCAGUUGAUGGGUACCAGCUGGCUAAGCAAAAUACAGCUUUGGUGGUCACUGAAGCAAAAACCUGGACAGAGGAGGAUUUUGGUGAGGCGAUGGAGAAAGAUUUCCAGAUGGCUUUCUUCAAGACAUUUCUCUGUCCAACUGUGGAAUGCUGCAAGGGUAUUCACACUGCCACAAGGGAUACAGAUCCAUUCAUUAAGUAACCAUGGGGCAACAAAAGCUGCUGUCUACUUUUUUCAGAGAUACAGUGCAUCCCUAAUUGUAAGCUUUUUCCUGGUCAAGGAAAGAAAACCAGGAGUUACGCCCAAAGAUGUCAAUGACUUCUUGAAUACGAGCAAUAGGCUGAUAUUAGGGAUUUUUUUUUUUUUUUUAGGUCUGUACUCAAUACAUAACCAAAGCCUUCCAUCUUUUUUUUUUUUUUUAACACACUUAACAGAUGAACAAUAUGAAGGGUUCAAUUUCCUUACUGAACCCUGUGCUAUUAGGAGGUAACCUUUCAUCUCCUGGUACAGUAGUCAAGUCACUGACAUGUAUGUACAUUUGACUGGCUCAGAGUCUCUGAGCAAGGUUGUCAUUUGUAAUCUAGCAAUACAGCCAAUAUAAUUGUCUGACCUUGAGAAAGAAUGACAUUCUUCCCUUAGCAUCCCUUUGACUAGCUCUUUUUGAUUGCAUUUUGAUUGGGCUCAAGAUCUUCUGGUCCCCGGGGAUUCACAUUUGGCUGGAAAAGGAUAGUCGUGUCUUCUUAAAAUGGCAAGCCAUGAAUAUGACACUGAAUAGAAAGCGCCAAAACACACCUGCCUAAAACUUUGUCUGUCUUUGUUUUCACUGCGUAAUGGGCAAUUUUCUUUACACUGGCAGCCUGAAUGAAAAUGUUCACUUUCUUUCAUUUCAGACUUGGGAAGGCUUUCUUUUGGUAAGAUACUGUUUACACAUUCCAGUGUAUGCCAGGAUGUGUACAAUAAUAUCAAAUUUGAUAAUGGGAUCGAACAGGUGAUGAGCUAUAAUUACCAGCAAUGGAGUUGAGUCCUAUGGUUUGCUUUGUUUCAGAAAUUAGUUAAAAGGUUGCGUCAAUCCAUCCCACAUAAGGCAUUUCACUUCCAUUUGCAGCAGUUAAUGUCAUCCAUGUAUCAAUUUUUCCAAAAUGCUUAUUCUCACAAGAAUCAUGGGCGUGCUGGAACCUAUCCCAGCUGACUGGACAACAAGCAGGGAGUACCCUUAAACUGGUCAACAGCCAAUCACAAGGCACUUACAGACAAAAUGCCAAUCAUACUCACAUUCAUACAUAUGUAAAGAGUCUUCAAUUAACUGUCCAUGCAAGUUUUGGCAAUGUGGGAGGAAAUCAAAGCACCCAGAGGAAACUCACGCAUUCAAGCUACACACAGGCAAGGCUGGAUUUGAACUCAAUUCCUCAGAACAGUGAGGCGGAUGUGCCACCAGUCUACACUGUUCCACAGACUAUUUAUCUCUGAAUAGAUUUUUUUUAUAUUUCAAACUAUUUUCAAUAUACCUGCUGGUAACAUUUUAAGAUGUUACACUAACAUUAGGUGACAUGGUCUCUCUUGCCCAGAGUCAGCUGGGAUAGGCUCUGACACGUCAGCGAGACUAAUGAGGAUAAGCGGUGUGGAAAGUGGAUGGAUUGAUGGUUAAGCAUUUAACAGUAAGUACAUCUUUUUUUUCAACAGUUAAAUUACCAUUGGCAGCACGGUGGUUCAGCUGGUAAAGUGUUGCUCUUACAGUUCUGAGUGCCCGGGUUAGAUCCCUGACCCGCCUGUAUGGCGUUUGCAUGUUCCCCCCGUGCCUGCGUGGUUUUUCUCCGGGCACUCCGGUUUCCUCCCACAUUCUAAAAACAUGCAACAUUAAUUGUACACUCUAAAUUGCCCCAAGGUGUGAUUGUGAGUGCGGCUGUUUGUCUCCAUGUACCCUGCGAUUGGCUGGCAAGUAGUUGAGGGUGUACCCCGCCUCCUGCCCAUUGAAAGCUGGGAUAGACUUCAGCACUCCCCGUGACCCUUGUGAGGAUAAGUGGCUCAGAAAAUGGAUUAAUGGAUAAAUUACCAUUCAAUUUUAUCAUGUUGCCAAUUUUUGUCUAAAUUGUCAUCACAUAUGUUGGCCCAAUGAUACAUUAUUCGUCCACUUACUGUUGUAGUCUUGCCAUCCUGCACUACUUGCAUAUUUGUAGUUAACGUAUACUCGCCACUCCUGUGCUUGAAAAGUAUCUGCACCAUUUGCACAAUUGGCAUUGCCCCACAUUAUCGCACUACUGCUCACUUUAAACUGCAUACAUUUCUUGAAGUCUCUGCUCCAUUUGGACUGAGUGGUGACUGCAUCAGACUAUUGUUCUAUUAAUUAUU